UUGUUUUUCACAUGGCUCCUGAUGAAGGGGUGGCAACUUGUAGAAAAGAGAAACAGUGAUUCAGUGGUGGUUUGGAAGAUUGGGAUGAAACACAUUGUCUCAGGGCUGUUUCGACAGCAUGCUGGGCUUCUUCCUCAUAUUGUCACCUGUGAUCAUAAGAUGUUUACAAUCAAGUUGUGAAAGUUGGGCUAUGGGCUUGAAAGUGAAGAGUGAGAGAAAGAAGUUUGGAAUACUUUGGGAUCCAGCUCAUCACACGU